UACGAAGGGGGCUAGCAUUGCUCGGAAUCACUGGGCGUAAAGCGCACGUAGGCGGCUUCUUAAGUCAGGGGUGAAAUCCUGGAGCUCAACUCCAGAACUGCCUUUGAUACUGAGAGGCUUGAGUCCGGGAGAGGUGAGUGGAACUGCGAGUGUAGAGGUGAAAUUCGUAGAUAUUCGCAAGGACACCAGUGGCGAAGGCGGCUCACUGGCCCGGUACUGACGCUGAGGUGCGAAAGCGUGGGGAGCAAACAGG
rnacentral:rRNA from 1 species